rnacentral:rRNA from 1 species
UACGGGGGGAGCAAGCGUUGUUCGGAUUUACUGGGCGUAAAGGGCGCGUAGGCGGCCUUGCAAGUGACGGGUGAAAUCCCUCGGCUUAACCGAGGAACUGCCUGUCAAACUGCGUGGCUUGAGACCAGGAGAGGUGAGUGGAAUUCCCAGUGUAGCGGUGAAAUGCGUAGAUAUUGGGAGGAACACCAGUGGCGAAGGCGGCUCACUGGACUGGUACUGACGCUGAUGCGCGAAAGCGUGGGGAGCAAACAGG